rnacentral:rRNA from 1 species
GACGAACCGUGCGAACGUUGUUCGGAAUCACUGGGCUUAAAGGGCGCGUAGGCGGGCCUCCCAGUCCGUGGUGAAAGCCCCCGGCCCAACCGGGGAAGUGCUGCGGAUACUGGAGGCCUCGAGGGGUGUAGGGGCAUGCGGAACUUCCGGUGGAGCGGUGAAAUGCGUAGAUAUCAGGAGGAACACCGGUGGCGAAGGCGGAUCUCUGGGCCUGUCCUGACGCUGAGGCGCGAAAGCUAGGGGAGCGAACAGG